rnacentral:ncRNA from 1 species
GGGAGCCCUUCGGGGUGACUGCGUACCUUUUGUAUAAUGGGUCAGCGACUUAUUGUCUGUAGCAAGCUUAACCGUUUAGGGGAGGCGUAGGGAAACCGAGUCUUAAUAGGGCGUUUAGUUGCAGGCAAUAGACCCGAAACCGGGCGAUCUAUCCAUGGGCAGGUUGAAGGUUAGGUAACACUGACUGGAGGACCGAACCCACUAACGUUGAAAAGUUAGGGGAUGACUUGUGGAUCGGAGUGAAAGGCUAAUCAAGCCCGGAGAUAGCUGGUUCUCCUCGAAAUC